rnacentral:lncRNA from 1 species
UAUAUAAUUGAGCUAGAAUACUAUUAGAAGCACCAACCCCUUGGUGCUUCUAAGUUUCUAGCUCUUGGAUUUACUCCUUAAUUACUAAUAUUCUUUGGAUCAAACACUAUUCCAUCUACCACCAUCAUCUCAACCCUACAUCUCUCCAUCCAAUGCUUAAAAUUUAAAAGUACUACCUCCUUUGGUGUUUUUGAGAGUAUUCUAGCUCAACUUGCUUUCAGGAGCACGGAGGCCUCCGUGCUCCUGAGCCGUUUUCGAUGAUGGAAUUUUUGAAUCGACGAUCGGCUCCGUUAUACUUGAUCUAGCGCAUUUGAAGUUUCUAGAAAAUAAUUUUUGCGAUUUUUUGAUAUCAUUUAUCUAGUGAUCGAAAGGAUUCAAAAUUCAUAAUUUUUAAUGGUUGAUAUCUGCCGUUUUCAAGUUUAAUGGUGUAGAAGUAUUCAAAUCAGAUGAAAUUUUGAUACAAAAUUCUUUAUACUAUCUACAACAAGAUCAAUAUUUUUGAUCGAAAAUUUUAGUACUAUAUCACCAUUUUUUAUAGGAUUUUUAUUUUUAGCCGUUAAAAAUUAUUGAUUUUGAAUCAUUUCGAUUGCUAGGUAAAUGAUAUCGAAAAAUCGUAAAAAUUAUUUUCUAGAAACUUCAAAUACGCUAGAUCAAGUUUAACGGAGCCGAUCGUCGAUUCGGACAAGAAUUUAGUGCUAUCGAGUUUUCUACCGUUAGAUUUAAUCUCUUAAUUAUUUUACCCGUUAGAUUAUACUAUUCAACCAACUAACUCAACCCCAGGGGCCCCACAUCAUCUUAAGCACACACACUACAACAGAAUUAGGUUAUAGGGACACAUGUUUGGGACACUUUUGAGUAAGUGUCCCAUUUAUGCUAAAAUAUAAAGCCCAAUCCAACCAACCAAAAAUAAAAGAUUACUCUACUCAACCCACCACACCCAGUCCAUUUGGCCCGAUUACAUACAGAAAAGAAAAAAAAAAGAAAAAUUAAUUACCAUCUUUUCUUCUCUCUUCACUCAAUCCACUGAAAUUUUAGACGAAGAGCCUUUCCUAUCGUCCUCCUCCGCCACCGCAGCCAACGAGAUAGAGUUUCGGCGGUUGCUAAAUACUUAAAUAAGUGUUGGUAAAUUAGCAUCACUCUUUUAGGUUAUAGCGACACUCUUUAACUGUCACUAUAUACCUAGCGACCCUACAUAUAGCAACACUUUUUAAAAGUGUUGGUAAUUUUAGCUAGCUGCACUUUUUUGAUAUGUACCUAUAUUUAAAAGUGUCGCUAUAGACCGUUUUUGUUGUAGUGACAUUUCUCAAUCCAAUGGCUAAAAAGCUAAUAGCACCAAUAACUUGAGCUAGAAUUGAGCUAGAAUACUUUUAGAAGUAUCAUUCCCUUGUUGCUUUUAGGUGUCUAGCUCUUGGAUCUACUCCUUGAUUACUAAUAGCCCUUGGAUCAAACACUAUUCCACCUAUCACCAUCAUCCCAACCUUACAUUUCUCCAUACAAGGGCUAAAAAUUCAAAAGCACCAACCUCUUGAUGCUUUUGAGAGUAUUCUAGCUCAACUAUAUAUAUAUAUAUAUAUAUAUAGAGCUAGGCUGGUAUGCUAUCGGUAGCACGGAGGGCUCCAUGCUACCAAGUUGUUUUUGAUGAUGCGGCUUCCAAAUAGACCAUCGGCUCCGUCAGACUUGAUCUACACUAUUGAAAGUAUUUGGAAACUAAAUUUCAUAAUUUUUCGGCAUUAUUUGGCUAGUGAUCAAAAGGUCUCAAAAUUAACAAUUUCAAUGGUAGAUAUGAUGCAUUUGUGAAUUUAAUGGUAUAAAACAAUCCAAAUUUAAUGAGAUUUUUAUAGAAAAUUCUUUUCACUAUUUAGAGUAAGAUCAGUACCUCUGAUUUUAAAUUCAAGUCUUUUAUCGUUAUUUUUUAUGAGAUUUUUAUUUUUAGCCGUUCAUUUUUAGACUACUCGUUUGAUAGGUAAAUGAUGCCAAAAAAUUAUGAAAUUUAGUUUCUAAAUACUUUCAAUAGUGUAGAUCAAGUCUAACUGAGUCGAUCGUUGAUUUGGAAGCCGCAUCAUUGAAAACAACUUGGUAGCACGGAAGCUUCCAUGCUACCGACAGUAUACCAGCCUAGCUCUCUCUCUCUCUCUCUCUCUCUCUCUCUCUCUCUCUAUAUAUAUAUAUAUAUAUAGNGAGGCGGGUCGAUUUCGUAGAAACAAAUAAAGCUAAAAAAAAUAAAAAAGCAGUAGUUGAUGCAAUAAAAGUAUAAGAAUAAAAAUUUAAAAAGAAUUAAAAAAUAAGAAAACUUAUAAGAAUAAUAAAUUAUAUUUAUAGCAGUAGUAAAAGUUGAGGAUUAAAAUGUCAUAUGCUCUAUAGUUCGAGUCUGAAAUUACAACUAAUUAAAGUUUUUGAGAACUAAAGCCUCACGUGCCUCAUAGUUGUGAGUAAGAAAAUAUAACCCAUUAAAAUUCGAACUAAGUGUCGCGUAUUAUAGUUUGAGGAUAAAAAAUGUGAUUUAUUUUUUAUAUUUUAAUUUUAUUCCAAAUAAAGACAGAAUUGAAUCGGUCGGUAUUAUUCAAUUAGUAAUUUUAUUUGAUAAUAGAAUAUGUUAAACUAUCUAAUACAUUUUAGAAUUUCUAAUUAUUAAAAUUCAAAGUCGACUAAUCAAAUUUUAGAUAUUCCAAAAUAUUUUAAAUGUGAAAUUGAUUGCUCAUCAGACUAUAAAUAUGGUAUUGAAGUUUGUUAUUAAAAUCAAAAUAAAAUGUAUAAAAUUU